rnacentral:rRNA from 1 species
UAGGGAAUCUUCGGCAAUGGGGGGAACCCUGACCGAGCAACGCCGCGUGAGUGAAGAAGGCUUUCGGAUCGUAAAGCUCUGUUGUUAAGGAAGAACGAGUGUGAGAAUGGAAAGUUCAUACUGUGACGGUACUUAACCAGAAAGGGACGGCUAACUACGUGCCAGCAGCCGCGGUAAUACGUAGGUCCCGAGGGUUGUCCGGAUUUAUUGGGCGUAAAGCGAGCGCAGGCGGUUAGAUAAGUCUGAAGUUAAAGGCAGUGGCUCAACCAUUGUAGGCUUUGGAAACUGUUUAACUUGAGUGCAGAAGGGGAGAGUGGAAUUCCAUGUGUAGCGGUGAAAUGCGUGGAUAUAUGGAGGAACACCGGUGGCGAAAGCGGCUCUCUGGUCUGUAACUGACGCUGAGGCUCGAAAGCGUGGGGAGCGAACAGG